rnacentral:rRNA from 1 species
UGGGGAAUAUUGCGCAAUGGGGGAAACCCUGACGCAGCGACGCCGCGUGAGCGAUGAAGGCCUUAGGGUUGUAAAGCUCUGUUUUAGGGGACGAAUGUCUAGAUGAGUAAUAUGCGUUUAGAAUGACGGUACCCUAAGAGGAAGCCCCGGCUAACUACGUGCCAGCAGCCGCGGUAAGACGUAGGGGGCGAGCGUUGUCCGGAAUUACUGGGCGUAAAGAGCACGUAGGCGGGAACUUAAGUCAGGUGUGAAAGCCCGGGGCUCAACCUCGGGGUGGCACUUGAAACUGGGUUUCUUGAGGGCAGGAGAGGAAAGCAGAAUUCCUGGUGUAGCGGUGAAAUGCGUAGAAAUCAGGAGGAAUACCAGUGGCGAAGGCGGCUUUCUGGACUGACCCUGACGCUGAGGUGCGAAAGCAUGGGUAGCAAACA